AUAUAGUAUAAUAUUGAAACCACAAAGAACUCUGAAUCCUCAAAUCUGGUUCUGCUCUUCGACUCUUUGCCCUACAAGAUAAAGUUUCAAGAUUUCAGAAAUUUGGAUGGUUGGAGGAAGAAGUUGGUUCCAUGCCGUUUUGAGGGCUCUGUUCAACCAAGGGCUGAAGGGAUUCUUGCCAAAUGACAUAUCCAAAUUACGUCAUCUUCAAAGCAUAUUGAUGGAGGUGAUGCCAGUUCAUUGUCUGAGGCCAUACCAGCCAGUAAACAAAAUCCAAAUCAGGGUUUGCAUGAUGUGGAUCACAAAAACCAUCGGAGAUGAUCCUCAGCCUCAAAGUCUUGAUUGUGUGUUUGUCGAUAAACAUGUGAGAAUUUUGCACUUUUUUCGUUAUUGUAAGAUGUUUACCGUUUUAUGUAUCCAAGUGUGCACGGUGUGUUCUUAGUACGACAAAUUUUUUGGUCAAACAUUCUCUAAAGUUCAUGAACUAAUUGUUCUAUGCAUUUUGUUGCCCAAUUAUACAUCGCUUCCAAAUGA